rnacentral:rRNA from 1 species
AUUGAACGCUGGCGGCAGGCCUAACACAUGCAAGUCGAACGAGUGGCGGACGGGUGAGUAAUGUCUGGGAAACUGCCUGAUGGAGGGGGAUAACUACUGGAAACGGUAGCUAAUACCGCAUACCAUCAGAUGUGCCCAGAUGGGAUUAGCUAGUGGGUGGGGUAACGGCUAACCAAGGCGACGAUCCCUAGCUGGUCUGAGAGGAUGACCGGCCACACUGGAACUGAGCCACGGUCCAGACUCCUACGGGAGGCAGCAGUGGGGAAUAUUCACCAAUGGGCGCAAGCCUGAUGCAGCCAUGCCGCGUGUAUGAAGAAGGCCUUCGGGUUGUAAAGUACUGUCAGCAGGGAGGCGUUACCCGCUGAGGAAGCACCGGCUAACUCCGUGCCAGCAGCCGCGGUAAUUC